GGAGCAUUGUGGUUUAAUUCGAACGCAACGCGAAGAACCUUACCAGGUCUUGACAUCCCCUGACAACCCGAGAGACUCGGGCGUUCCCCCUUCGGGGGGACAGGGGUGACAGGUGGUGCAUGGUUGUCGUCAGCUCGUGUCGUGAGAUGUUGGGUUAAGUCCCGCAACGAGCGCAACCCUUCGACCUUAGUUGCCAGCAUUCAGUUGGGCACUCUAAGGUGACUGCCGGCUAAAAGUCGGAGGAAGGUGGGGAUGACGUCAAAUCAUCAUGCCCCUUAUGACCUGGGCUACACACGUGCUACAAUGGGCGGUACAAAGGGUCGCGAACCCGCGAGGGGGAGCCAAUCCCAAAAAGCCGCUCUCAGUUCGGAUUGCAGGCUGCAACUCGCCUGCAUGAAGCCGGAAUCGCUAGUAAUCGCGGAUCAGCAUGCCGCGGUGAAUACGUUCCCGGGCCUU
rnacentral:rRNA from 1 species